GUGGUUUAAUUCGACGCAACGCGCAGAACUUACCUGGCUUGACAUCCCGAUCGUACUUUCUGGAAACAGUUUAGGCCAGUUCGGCUGGAUCGGUGCAGGUGCUGCAUGGCUGUCGUCAGCUCGUGUCGUGAGAUGUUGGGUUAAGUCCCGCAACGAGCGCAACCCUUUGUCCUUAGUUGCCAGCAUUAAGUUGGGCACUCUAAGGAGACUGCCGGUGUUAAACCGGAGGGAAGGUGGGGAUGACGUCAAGUCCUCAUGGCCCUUAUGUCCAGGGCUACACACGUGCUACAAUGGCCGGUACAAAGGGCUGCAAUACCGCAAGGUGGAGCGAACCCCAAAAAGCCGGUCUCAGUUCGGAUUGGAGUCUGCAACUCGACUCCAUGAAGUUGGAAUCGCUAGUAAUCGCGGAUCAGCAUGCCGCGGUCGAAUACGUUCCCGGGCCUU
rnacentral:rRNA from 1 species